GAUGAACGCUGGCGGCGUGCCUAAUACAUGCAAGUCGAGCGAACAGAUGAGGAGCUUGCUCCUCUGACGUUAGCGGCGGACGGGUGAGUAACACGUGGAUAACCUACCUAUAAGACUGGGAUAACUUCGGGAAACCGGAGCUAAUACCGGAUAAUAUAUUGAACCGCAUGGUUCAAUAGUGAAAGACGGUUUUGCUGUCACUUAUAGAUGGAUCCGCGCCGCAUUAGCUAGUUGGUAAGGUAACGGCUUACCAAGGCAACGAUGCGUAGCCGACCUGAGAGGGUGAUCGGCCACACUGGCACUGAGACACGGUCCAGACUCCUACGGGAGGCAGCAGUAGGGAAUCUUCCGCAAUGGGCGAAAGCCUGACGGAGCAACGCCGCGUGAGUGAUGAAGGUCUUCGGAUCGUAAAACUCUGUUAUUAGGGAGGAACAAAUGUGUAAGUAACUAUGCACGUCUUGACGGUACCUAAUCAGAAAGCCACGGCUAACUACGUG
rnacentral:rRNA from 1 species